UCCGUGUUAACCAUGGCAGUCUCUCUAGAGAGCCCAACUGAAUGCUGGCAACUAAAGAUAGGGGUUGCGCUCGUUGCGGGACUUAACCCGACAUGUCACCACACGAGCUGACGACAGCCAUGCAGCACCUGUCUCUUUGUCGUAUUGCUACGAAAGCCGUAUCUCUACGGAUGUCAAAGGAUGUCAAACCCAGGUAAGGUUCUUCGCGUUGCUUCGAAUUAAACCACAUGAUCCACCGCUUGUGCGGGCCCCCGUCAAUUCCUUUGAGUUUCAGCCUUGCGGCCGUACUCCCCAGGCGGGGCACUUAAUGCGUUAGCGUCGACACUCAGGGGGUCGCUCCCCCAAGCAUCUAGUGCCCAUCGUUUACGGCGUGGACUAC
rnacentral:misc_RNA from 1 species